rnacentral:lncRNA from 1 species
UCCGCCUCAUGACUCUGGUAAGUGAAGACCUUUUUGUGUCUUCGCUUCACAAGAAAGAUUGAAUGACGCCGAUGUUUGGUUGAAGACUCAUUUUACCGUUUUAUGUGCUUGUGUUAUGAUGCUAGUACUUCUAUUUACUAUGUGUGUGUGUGGGUAUGGAUGAAUGUAAUUUGAAUCUUCUGGCUUUGGGUUACGGUGUGAACACGAACCGUCGUGUCGUUUGGUUGCUUUUGUAUUUCGAUCACUCCUGUUGUGAUUCUUUUUUU